rnacentral:rRNA from 1 species
GAUGAACGCUGGCGGCGUGCCUAAUACAUGCAAGUCGAGCGAACAGACGAGGAGCUUGCUCCUCUGACGUUAGCGGAGGACGGGUGAGUCACACGUGGAUAACCUACCUAUAUGACUGGGAUAACUACGGGAAACCGGCGCUAAUACCGGAUAACAUGCUGAACCGCAUGGUUCAACAGUGAAAGACGGUCUUGCUGUCACUUAUCGAUGGAUCCGCGCCGCAUUAGCUAGUUGGUACGGUAACGGCUUACCAAGGCGACGAUGCGUAGCCGACCUGAGAGGGUGAUCGGCCACACUGGAACGGAAACACGGUCCAGACUCCUACGGGAGGCAGCAGUAGGGAAUCUGCCGCAAUGGGCGAAAGCCUGACGGAACAACGCCGCGUGAGUGAAGAAGGUCUUCGGAUCGUAAAGCUCUGUUAUUAGGGAAGAACAAAUGUGUAAGUAACUAUGCACGUCUUGACGGUACCUAAUCAGAAAGCCACGGCUAACUACGUG